rnacentral:rRNA from 1 species
AUGAAGUGGCAGUCGUUCAUGUCCACGUUCGUGCUGAACAAGAUGUGUGAGCUCAUCUCUAGUGGAGUUAGGACUGACAAGGGGGUGCACUUGAACAUCGUUGCGAAGCAGGUGUUCGAGUUCUGUGGGCAAGAGGUGUCUACCACCCAGCACAUCUUCUCCUUCGGGCUGGCAACUGGGAAGCAUGCCAUGGGCUCGGGUGAGCCUCUUGGUUCUCCCAUGCUAGACUUCCCCGGGACACCGGACGUCGAGGUCCUUGAUGGCCCUGACAAGCCCGCUGCGAAGCCCUUCGACAAGCCAUUUGACCCCGUCCAUGAUAGGAAGAGGAAGAGAGGAGGCCUGAUGGAGGAGGAGAUCAAUGUCUUUUGCAGCAUGACUGAGGCGGUUAAGGAGGUAGCAACAGCCAUCAGGGAGUGCAAGCCCCUCGACGUCCACCCUGACCUAUAUGGCGAUGUCAUGACCCAGGAUGGCUUCAGCGAUGAGGCUCUCAUGGCAGCUCUUAGCCGCCUGCUUGACAACAAGGCCCAGGGUGUUGGGUUCGUUGCCAUGGCCGACGCUCACAGGGGCAAGUGGUAUGCGGUGUUCAUCGGUGAGGUUUCAGGGGUUUACAGUUCACGGGAAGAAGCCAAUGCACAAGUGGCAUCGUAUAGCAACAGCAAUUAUAGAGGGUUCAAGACUAGGCAGGCAGCAGAACAAGCUUACUCCGCAUGGGUGCGAAAGCUCGGAGGCAGCAGUGUUGACAGUGCCAAGGUUGGAGGUGUCAAAGUGGAAGCUGCUAAGGUGGAUCGU